GGAGCUUUCGAACGGCAAUCUUUCGGCGCUUGCGGCGCUGGAAACGAUGGCGAACAAGCUGCCGUGGUUCGAUGGCGCAGGCUCUGC
rnacentral:tRNA from 1 species